CCUGGUGGCUCAGAGGUUAAAGCGUCUGCCUGCAAUGCAGGAGACCUAAGUUCGAUCCCUAGGUCAGGA
rnacentral:tRNA from 1 species